ACGCUCGACACCUACGGGAGGCAGCAGUGAGGAAUAUUGGUCAAUGGACGCAAGUCUGAACCAGCCAUGCCGCGUGCAGGAUGACGGCUCUAUGAGUUGUAAACUGCUUUUGUACGAGGGUAAACGCAGAUACGUGUAUCUGUCUGAAAGUAUCGUACGAAUAAGGAUCGGCUAACUCCGUCCCAGCAGCCGCGGUAAUCUGAGCGGGCUGGCAAGGC
rnacentral:rRNA from 1 species